rnacentral:tmRNA from 1 species
GGGGUCGUUUGGUUUUGACAGCUCUACGACGAUACAAUUUGCAUGUUGGUGUUGAAAAUAUUACCAUUAACAAAUUUUCAAAAAAAUAAAUGACAAAAAGUCGAACUUCUUGGCUAGCUUCAGAAGUUUAUCCAACGAAGUUGUUCGUUUAGCUGCUUAAUAACAUUUGAGCGGUUACGAUCUUUGUGCGGUUACUAUUGGUUGCACUUAGGUUGUUAUAAAAUUCAAUAGUUAAGUUCUCAGUAUUUGACAUGAUGCUGAAAAUGAUUUCCAUAAUGUCUAGAAUUUUUUUAUAGGUUGGUGUUUUCCUGGAAAAAUUCAAAAUUGAAUAAAUAACUAAGCAUGUAGAUAGUUGUUGAAUUGUAAGUUUGGACGAGGGUUCAAUUCCCUCCGACUCC